rnacentral:ncRNA from 1 species
CAAAAGCUUGGUCCUGACUUUAUCAUCCGCCUUAGCCAAAUUUAUACAUGCAAGUAUCCGCACCCCCGUGAGAAUGCCCCUAAAAUCCUGCCCGGAAACGAGGAGCAGACAUCAGGUACACACCCGUAGCCCAUGACGUCUUGCGUGGCCACACCCCCAAGGGACUUCAGCAGUAAUAAACCUUAGGCAAUAAGUGCAAACUUGACCUAGUUAUGGCUAUAAGAGGGCCGGUAAAACUCGUGCCAGCCACCGCGGUCAUACGAGUGCAAGCCCAAGCAGAUGAUCUCCGGCGUAAAGCGUGGUUAGGGGCACCCCAAACUAAAGCUGAACGCCCGCAGGGCCGUUAUACGCAUCCGACAGCAUGAAACCCCACCACGAAAGUGGCUUUAACCCAACCCGAACCCACGAUAGCUAGGGCACAAACUGGGAUUAGAUACCCCGCUAUGCCUAGCCGUAAACAUAGAUAGAGACUCUACAAACUCUAUUCGCCUGGGAACUACAAGCAUCAGCUUAAAACCCAAAGGACUUGGCGGUGCUUUAGACCCACCUAGAGGAGCCUGUCCUAGAACCGAUACCCCCCGUUCAACCUCACCACUUCUAGCCCAACCCGCCUAUAUACCACCGUCGUCAGCUUACCCCUUGAGGGAUCAAUAGUAAGCGAAAUUGGCACAGCCCAAAACGUCAGGUCGAGGUGUAGCGCACGAAGUGCGGAAGAGAUGGGCUACAUUUUCUAACCCAGAAAACUACGAAAGGAAAAAUGAAAAACCCCCGGAAGGAGGAUUUAGCAGUAAGCAAGGAGCAGAGUGCCUUGCUGAAACUGGCUCUUAAGCGCGCACACACCGCCCGUCACUCUCCCCAAGCCCGACCCGCCAUAAAAUAUAUUACACCAACUGGACAAAGGGGAGGCAAGUCGUAACAUGGUAAGUGUACCGGAAGGUGCACUUGGAAUAUA